GGUAGCUUGGCCGAGGGGUUAAGGCGCCAGAUUUAAGUUACGGGGCCCAUGCGGGUACCCCAAAACCGCCCGACAAGGACUCUAGAAGCCUUUCGGGAAAAUCUCUGGUCUCGAAAGAGUCGCGCGUUCGAAUCGCGCAGCUACCA